GUACCCGCGGCAAGACGGAAAGACCCCGUGAACCUUUACUAUAGCUUGACACUGAACAUUGAGCCUUGAUGUGUAGGAUAGGUGGGAGGCUUAGAAGUGUGGACGCCAGUCUGCAUGGAGCCGACCUUGAAAUACCACCCUUUAAUGUUUGAUGUUCUAACGUUGACCCGUAAUCCGGGUUGCGGACAGUGUCUGGUGGGUAGUUUGACUGGGGCGGUCUCCUCCUAAAGAGUAACGGAGGAGCACGAAGGUUGGCUAAUCCUG
rnacentral:rRNA from 1 species